GGGGGCCCGCACAAGCGGCGGAGCAUGCGGAUUANUUCGAUGCAACGCGAAGAACCUUACCAAGGCUUGACAUGGACCGGACCGGGCUGGAAACAGUCCUUCCCCUUUGGGGCCGGUUCACAGGUGGUGCAUGGUUGUCGUCAGCUCGUGUCGUGAGAUGUUGGGUUAAGUCCCGCAACGAGCGCAACCCUCGUUCUAUGUUGCCAGCGCGUUACGGCGGGGACUCAUAGGAGACUGCCGGGGUCAACUCGGAGGAAGGUGGGGACGACGUCAAAUCAUCAUGCCCCUUAUGUCUUGGGCUUCACGCAUGCUACAAUGGCCGGUACAAAGGGUUGCGAUACUGUGAGGUGGAGCUAAUCCCAAAAAGCCGGUCUCAGUUCGGAUUGGGGUCUGCAACUCGACCCCAUGAAGUCGGAGUCGCUAGUAAUCGCAGAUCAGCAACGCUGCGGUGAAUACGUUCCCGGGCCUUGUACACACCGCCCGUCAAGUCACGAAAGUUGGUAACACCCGAAGCCGGUGGCCUAACCCCUUGUGGGAGGGAGCUGUCGAAGGUGGGACUGGCGAUUGGGACUAAGUCGUAACAAGGUAACCGUAAGGGC
rnacentral:rRNA from 1 species